rnacentral:rRNA from 1 species
GACGAACGCUGUUGGCGUGCCUAACACAUGCAAGUCGAGCGAAGUGAGUACUACGGUACGAACUUAGCGGCGGACGGGUGAGUAGCGCGUGGACAAUCUACCCUGUAGACUGGGAUAACACCUCGAAAGGGGUGCUAAUACCGGAUAAUGUCGAGAAGCGGCAUCGCUUUUCGAAGAAAGGAGAGAAUCCGCUAUAGGAGGAGUCUGCGUCCCAUUAGCUAGUUGGUGAGGGUAACGGCCCACCAAGGCGACGAUGGGUAGCCGGCCUGAGAGGGUGAACGGCCACACUGGAACUGAGACACGGUCCAGACUCCUACGGGAGGCAGCAGUGGGGAAUAUUGUGCAAUGGGGGAAACCCUGACACAGCAACGCCGCGUGAGCGAAGAAGGCCUUCGGGUUGUAAAGCUCAAUAGUAUGGGAAGAUAAUGACGGUACCAUACGAAAGCCCCGGCUAACUACGUGACAGCAGCCGCGGUAAAAC